GUUAAAAUGGGCUAAGGGCUAUUUAGUAUAGUAAGAGAAAAGUGUAACCGGAGGAAGAGAGAGCCUCGCCUGGGUCUGGGGGACGGGGAGAUAGACCCCCACACCCAUGGACAGGCUCAGAUGAUGACGGGGGCGCCGCCCAUGCAGAGGGGGAGGUCGUCGGCAGGGGCGGCGGGGGCAGCGGCCCCAUAUUCACAUGAUGAUGAUGAUGAUGAUGAUGCACCGCCCUUGCCAAGGGGGAGGCCGUCGGCAGGGGCGGCGGGGGCAGCGGCCCCAUAUUCACAUGAUGAUGAUGAUGAUGAUGCACCGUCCUUGCCAAGGGGGAGGCCGUCGGCAGGGGCGGCGGGGGCAGCGGCCCCAUAUUCACAUGAUGAUGAUGAUGAUGAUGAUGCACCGCCCUUGCCAAGGGGGAGGCCGUCGGCAGGGGCGGCGGGGGCAGCGGCCCCAUAUUCACAUGAUGAUAUAUAUACAGGUGACUCGCGAGUCGGGACAAAGACGACGAUGAAGACAGGACGAACAUACAGGUGACUAUGACGGUGGGAGGAGCCGCGAGUCUGACAAAGACGACGAUGAAGACAGGACGAACAUACAGGUGACUAUGACGGUGGGAGGAGCCGCGAGUCUGACAAAGACGACGAUGAAGACAGGACGAACAUACAGGUGACUACACGGUGGGAGGAGCCGCGAGUCUGACAAAGACGACGAUGAAGACAGGACAAACACACACACAUCGCCGCGGUGGGUCGUGCAGUCCGCGGUGGAGGGUGGUGGCGUAGUCCCUCCUGCUGCUGCUGGCGUGGACGGCCAGGGCGUGGUGAGGGCCGCCGUGGUCGUGGUGGCGGCGGCAGUGGCUCGGUGGCCAGGAGCAGCAAGGCCUCGUGGGGUGGGGGUUCCCCAAGUGCACAAUCGAGUCGGUGCUCUCCUUGGGGCCGCCAGGUCCGGACCAGGACGGGCUCUCGCCACACCGAUGGUUGCGUCCAAACCAACAGUUUAACCCAAACAAAAAAAAAUGCAGCUGAUGGUGCAUCG